AAAAAAAAAUUUCAAUAAAUAAAUAAAAAAUACAAUAAAUAAAUAAAACAGUUGAAAAAAUUGGAAAAAUGACAUUUAUGACAUUUAAAAAUAUUUUAUUUUUGCAGAAAAAUAUUAAAUGUACAAAAUAUUUCAUAAAAUUUUAAAAUAUUCCAAGGAAUGUAAAUAAAAUAUUCCGAAAAGUAUAUAAAAUUUACAAAACAAAAUCCAUGUCAAUAAAUACAAAUGUGUUUCACAAUUGCAAUUUUUUUUCAAGGAACAACAAAAAAAAAAAAAUCAGACAUAAAAAUAUUUCAUGUAACCUGUAAAAUAAAUCCCUCAAAAACCUUUCACUAAAGUACAAUAAAACAUCAAACAAAAAAUUCACAAAAAGAAACAAAAAUUUUUGAAAACCAAUAACUUGCUUUAAAUCAUUCUUUUCGAGUUUUUUUUUUCACAAAUCACAAACUUUAAUAUUUUCUAAGUUUGUUUUUUUUUGUUUCAUUAAAAACAUUUUGCACUUUAUGAAUGUUUUAUGUUAACUAAUGUUUGGUAAAUGAGUCAGUCUCACCAUAAGUCAAAAAUUUUGUGUUACUUUAUAUGUUUUUUGCAGUUUAGUUCAGUAUUUUUUGUGUUUAAUGAAAUGUUUUUGCACUCGACCUUCAGGGCCUCUGUACCUGCCCAUAAUGCUUUCAACCUUACCUACCCUCAGGUCAGCAGUUCCCUGCCUCACCUCAUAUUUCCACCUCCAUAUCUGAUUUCUGAAUUUGGUAUUGGAAACUUUCAGACCUCUAAUAGGUUUUCUGCGCCCCCAGAAGGCUCGGCUGAUAACAUCAGUUAGGCUUUUCCUGAGCAGUCAGGGCCAGACAGAGCACAAAUGGAGGCAGGGUGGUGAGGGCUUUGGGAGAAAUCUUGUUUGUCCUGUCUGCUGGUUUGUGCUGCGGCUGACACUUUGCGAUGAGAGCAUCCGUAUGAAGGCCCCCUCCAGGGAGAGGAGGUCCACCCAGCAGAGGAGGAGGAGGAGGAGGAGGAGGAAGAGGAGGAGGACUUGAAUCUGCAGCAUCAGAGGGGAAUGAUGACAAAAGGAAAAACGGGGGAUGCAGACGAUAAACAGUACUUCAUUAAUGAGAGCUCUCAGUUGUGCUGUGAUGUUGCAGCGACAUAAAUCAACUUGAUUACAUGCUGGGCUCAGUCUAGACGUUAAUGCCUGAAUUUACAGUGCAUUUCAAUUUAGACUACCAUGCAUAAUUAGGUUAAUCACAUACAGUACUGCUGACUGUUAGCGGCUCAGAGAGUUUUUUUUUCAUGGACAUGCUGACAUCAGUUUCAGUAAAAUGCCUUCAGGAAUACUGUCUGCCUUCAUUUCACUCAGAGCAAACCUGACAGCAAAGAGAAGAUAACAUAGGAUGUAUAUUUUUCGAGGCAACAUUAUUGCAUUUAUGACAGCAUAUAUGCCACAACAGCAGGGGUGGAGCCAGAUUUGAUUGACAGAUAUGACCAGUUUAUGCACUUUAUUUCGUCAGGGUAGUAUGAAGUUGCCGUGCCCACUUGCAUAAAUACAGUUUAUUUACCAUUUCUGUCUUAAAUAAAAUAUUAUGUGUUGCAUUUAAUUUCUAAAUUGAAACUCCUUAUGUUAAUACAAAAUACUUAUUCUAAGUUCAUCAAUUUUUACGUUUAAGCAAUUUAACAUUAAUUGAUUUCUACCAAGUCUGUUCUGCGAAGUGCUUCUAAAUACUGCACACUGUACCUUUAAAGAGUUAAAAGGUGGCAGCAUUUCAAUAAUUUAAAUUAUUAAGGGGUUGUGAAGGUGUCUAGUAUCUGAAUAAAAGUGAAGUUGAUUUUUUUCAAACAUAAGUCCUCCUUCUUUAAAGGCAGAUAGCCAAUCAGAUUUCAGGGAUCUUAGGUGGCCAAUCCCUUAUUAUUUGGGGUGGGCAUGGUCACCCUUGUCCAUCUCCUGAAACCGCCCCUGCUUCAUAGGUUUAAUAAGGCAAUUUUCAAUCAAAGAUAAGUCUGCAUUGGCACUUAUUUAGGUUUAUAAUGAUUACAAUCAUUUUUAAUGAUCAAAUAUAUUUGAAUGGCAUUUUUUACUCAUAAAUUUAGCUUUUAGAAUUAAAGAAAAAGGGGAAAAAAUGUAAAAUAAGGCAAAAAUAUUCAGAGCAUUAAUGAUUGCAGUUAAAAUAAAGUGCAGAAGUAACAUACAAAUAGUUAUCCAGAUAGGAAUAAAUGUUUAACAUGAGGCAGAAAAUAAGAACCUAAUUUUAACUGAGGAGAUGAGGACUUAAUAAAUGAGGAACAUGAGUUCAAGUUUUAAUACUAGUUAAAAAAAUCUGCAAAAUCAAAUGAAAUAUUUUGAAUGCAGUCAGUAAACUCUGCCGUGUCAAAUUGUGUUACCAAAUAAUUUCUCAUUUCCUUUGAACAGGAAAUAAUUCAAUGUUGCUUUUGUUAUUAAAAGCAGAAGCGACAUUCCUCUAUUCAAGACACUAAAAAAAAAACCCAAGGUCUUCUCACAAACGCUCAACACGGGCCAUUGAGCACAAGUUACGCUCAUUAAAAUAACAAAUCAUGCCUCUUGUAGAGCUUAUUUCUCUGUCCUUAAACUGUACCCUCUGCCCGAUGUGUGCAUGCAUGACGUACUUUCCCCCCAUAAUGAAAAUCACUUGAAGAAAGAUUGAAACAGACAAUGUUUACCGCCUGCGGGGAUCAUUUAUAUGAUCUAAUGGUAUUGCAAUAUGAAGAUCUGAGCGUGUUUGAUAGUGAGGCUCUUAAUCAGCUGUACUUGCUGAAUCAUGGCAUGGUCAGAUGAUUGUACCGAGCACAUGGUGACUCAUAAACUGAGCAUGCAAACUUCGGCAUGGAAAUGCUCUCUCUCUAUCUCAUAUUUUAAGAUGCGACUGUUUUGUGAUGGUUUUAUUUCCCUUUUUUUGUAAAACAACUGUCAGAGUAAAGGCUGAAAGUACUUUGGAUAUACAGUAUAUUUUUACAGGAUAUGUUCUGUCAUAUUGUGUCCAUGCCAGAUUGACAAAUAUGGGGGGAAAGAAGGUUGACUUUGUAUUCAGUGUGUUAUGUCAUUUAAUUUCUACAGGAUCUAACAGUCCCAAUUAUGUGACUGCAAAAUCCUGCCUCCUAUGAGGACAUUCGCACCACAAAUCUGGGUUAUAAAGUGUGAAUGCGGCUGCUAAGAUGGUGAUAAAAUGUCUUGUGUGUCUCAAAACCUGUGUUGUUGGUUGCUGCUAAAUUGAGCAGAGGCAUUUUGACAAGCCUGCAGGACAAGUCUUCAUUCAGGAUUGAGUGGCAAGUCCCUCAGGCCUCGGAGAGCAGAGGGGUUAACCUGCUUAGAGCCUGCAAACUGUGAAUCAACAUAAUCACAUUGAUCCUGAGUCACUCUCCUCCCUGGAGGUAUGACUGAUGGGUAAGGCAAACUGUUCGUCCUUUAAGGGCCUGUCACAAGAGUUAAAGCCCAGAGGGGAGGCUUUAGGGCGCCUGGAAAUCACAGAAAACAUCCCAGUUACUGUUUUUAGAGGACAGACUGAGAGAGUCAAGCUGAGACAGCUAUUUUUCCUGUAUAAAAGCUCAUGAUUGGAGUAAUCUUUUCAUGUCCCAGAGCCUACACUUUUAUAAUUUUGAGAUAAUAAAUUAAUGAUAACAUUAUCUGGAUUAUGUCCAUGCUUUUUUGUGACAAAGGGUACAUUUACUCAGUUAUCAUGACAGGAUUUUCUUAACUCAAUGGAUGAUUUAUAGCAACAGAACCACUCAAGAAGUCACAGUAGUUGUUUUGUUUACCUUAAGUAAUAUAUUUGUCUUUAAUAGCCGAGAUUGAGUCAAACUACUUCUUUAACUCAAUUAGAAAUCUUAUGAAAAGCAUAAAAUCCAACAUUUUAAGUUACAGUCACUUAAUUUUAAUAUAAUGCGCAAUAUCAUCUAGAUUUCUGGUAAAUCAAAGUGUUAAAAAAAAACCGCUUUCUUAUUUCUUUAUGGCAGCAGCUGAUAAUCUGAGAUGAUUUGAGCUUUUAUCCGUCAAUAAAACGUCAAACUCUUGAUCUAAAAGACACAAUAAUUAAAUUUAUCCCUAAUCAAGGCUUUUCUCAGCUUCCUUAGAUUUGUGUCAUGAUAUAGGCUGUUAUAAAGUGAUGUUUAAGUGUCUAGUGGUUAAACUGUGGGCCCAGUCCCACAUACAGUAAGCAGCCAGUAUAGGCUUGAUUUCACCCUGCAGCCUUAUACUCCAUGUUAUCCCCCACUCUCUCUCUCUCUCUUUUACAGUUUCCCACUCUAUUCACUCCUCAGAAGGGCAGAAAAUGUAACAACACGCAGGGUUAAACAAAGAACAAGACCCAAAAAAAGAACAAAGGAUUGAAUUUAAAGAACUAAACGAAAAGAGCAACAAAAAGAGAAAAAUCUAAAAGGCAAAAUCUACAAAAAUCACAUGGAGCAACUGGGGACACAAGCAUACACGCACACAGACACACAUACAUGAACCAACCAGGACAGAGGGGAAGACAAAGACUAUAUACACGCUGGGAAACAGGCAACAGGUGAGGCAGAUGAGACACAGGUGAAACUCGUUAACUGAUUAACGAGGGAAAACUAGGGAAGUAAAACCAGACUAGAAACACAAGGAAUCAACUACUAUAAAAUAAAAACUGGGAACACUGAGAAUUGAUCUUAAGAGUGAAACACUAGGAAUACAAGGGAAAAAGGGUCAAACACAAACUGAAAACUCACAAGAUAGGAUCACAGGGACAAUAGGGAACAGAAACACUAGAAAAAUACACUCAAAUAACAAACCUAAACUAAAUUAAUGGAACAUAUCAUGACAAAAAAAAGCUCUAAAACAACUUUAAAGAAGAAAAACAAAAAGUAGCCAUGCUUGGAGCUUGAAAUUUGGCACUUUAGAAAGUGUUGUGUUGAUUUUUUGGAGACAGAAGUGUUCGUAUUUUGCUUUGCGCUCGCUGAUAGAUCAUCCCGGAAGCAACUAGUCAGCCACAGGUAGCCCCACCCUGAAUAAAAUCAGCUUUACUGUUGAUUUCCUUCUACACUAUCAUGUUUGAUAUGACUGUAUAUCUUCUUAUUUGCAUCUGGUGGAGUCUCCUUCUGCUGGUCACUUGCAGGAAUGCAGGUUUAUUGCAUAACUGGUAUAGCUCUCCUUAAAAAAAAAAAACAUUAUUUAGUGUCUGCUACAUUUUAAUUAAUUAAUUUAUUCUUUACAUAUUUGGGGCAUUUUUGCCGUUAUCAGUUGGAACAUUGGGAGCAGAAACCCUGCAGUAAAGAGUCAUGGUCGGUAAUCAAACUGGUGACCAUGUAAAACACUGUGUGCAUGUAGCUCAUGCUAACAGUUGAGUUUGCAAACAAAGCACAUUGUUAGCAUGGCAGUUAAAAGCAAAUCUGUACAUUAACUUCAACUUUUCAAACUCCAAACAUGAAUGUAGGAGCUUAUGUCAAAUUUUAAAUAGCUAAGAGAAGUAUUUUGAAAAACUGCAGCCAGUUAGGUAAAGUUGGUGUGUGUCAGAGAAAAUAGAGGUAAAAUGAGGUCUAAAACUUUAUCUGCACUUUUAAACAGAGUUUCUCUAAAAAUGAAGAAAACUUUCCUCAAUUCUGAACAAAAGUGAAACUUUGGAAGACUCCACAGUAGGUACUUACCAUGCACUGUAUAAUGCAUUAUGGUCUUUCAUCCUGUGGAGCAGUAAGAUAGAUGACGGGUACAGAGGCCCCUGAAGGUGGCUGUACCGCUCAGCAAUGCCUCUCGGUAUCUACACUACCUCAUACAGUCAUGUAGACUUACUUUAAAAACAGGGGCUACCUCAGGACAAAAUAAAGAAAGAAAAAAUUACCUGCUGUCAGAAAACCACACCGUAGGCAGUUUGUUGGUUUGUUUGAGUUUUCUUUUAUUCCUCCGGCUGUGAUGAAAGCACUAUUAAAAAUGAUCAAGACUCAUUUCUGCGAACCGUUCGGUAAUCAGUAUGAUGAGGCUCAGUUCAAACUGGGAUGUAAUGAGAUGUCUUUCUUUAAAGUAAAAUCAAACUGAUAUGAGACCAAACCCCCACUGUUUUCUCUGUGACUCAGAGGUUUUGCUUUCUUUCUUUUUACGGCUUUAACUUUAAUUCGGAGGAUCUGAAAGCUCAAGUCCCAGAGCAGCUGGGAGAGCAGGUUUGAAGUAACCUUGCUUAUUUAAUGAACUGUCCUUAAAUUAGGUAGGGGAGACCGGGGUUGGCCGUCUUGUGAGUUAGUCUCAGCACUUAUUGAUGCCAAACGAUCGGUCACCAUUUCAUUAAGUUCAUAUUUCAUAAUUCCUCUUAAUAAUAACAAUUGCUGUGGUUGUGUUCUCCUCCUCGGUUCGCUUUCUACAUUCGCUGUCACACAGCAGCAGAGCAGGGUGAGUGAAAUCACUAAUAACACACCUGACCCUAAAGGGAACUCUGCAAGUUUCUUUCUAGACCCAUUCAACUGACUGUGAGGGAGGUCACAUUCAAGGUAGAGGCAUACAUGGCAAAGUUUAAGACUUCAAUUUGAACUAUGAAACACUGACAGAAAAGUCUCUGUGAACAUAGAGAGGAGGGCAAACACCAUCGGUCUGGUAUGCCGAAAAAAUCCACUGAAUUAUAUCUGCAGACAUUUAGUUUAUCCUUCCUUUUUUAAAUCACAGUGUUAGACUAAAAAAUAACUUUCUUUUUGAGAGUUAAUAACUUGCUGAUAAAGUAAUCUAAAUUAGCUACAGGAAGCCCAUUUGAACGUAGGACUUCAAGCUUCAACUGAGCGACGAAAGGUAUUUUAAUGAACAAGUAAUUCACAAGAAAGUAAAAAAAGUGACAACCAACUCCAGUCGAGCUAACACGGCCGAGACAACAACUUUAAAAUCAGAUGAACAUCACUGGAGUUAAGCGAAUAUGUAUAAAACACGUUGCCGAUAUACGAAGCAAUACAUUUGCUUAAAGGGAUACGUCGGCGUAAAAUUAAGUUAGGGUCAAACACACCGUAACACCGAGUUAGACUGCCCCGUCGAGAAAUGAAUGUUUCCAACUGCUUGCUUUUCUAGUUAUACCAACUUUAGUAACGACCGCACGAUAGCAAUGCACAGCGGUCUGAGGAGCCGUAAACAAACCUCAACCAAAACGCCACUCUAGCCACAAACAAUGCUCAGAACAGCAGCUAACUUCAUCAACAGGACAUAUAGGGUCCAGCUAUAGUACUAUCAACCAAACAUCUUUUUAACUUUGCCUAAUUUCUUUAGCAAAGAGACUAAACACAACUCACCUACUCUCUUUCAGCAGCCGCUUGUUUGUAGCGAGACCUCCGGCCAGUCCAUUACGGACUGCUGCGGGGUGACGCAGCUCAAGGAAGAACAUUUACGAUCAUUUCUUCAUAGAAAUGGCAUCUGCAGUGCAAAAUGAUUAAUAUGGUGAUUAUUAAUUCAAGGAAGUGAUAAAGUAAUGAUCAUUACUUUGUGUAUUGCUACCGUGCGGUCGUCACUAAAGUUGGUAUAACUAGAGAAGCAAGUGGUCAGCAACAUUCAUCUCUCGAUGGGGUGUUUAACUCGGUGUUACGGUUAAUUUUACGCCAGAAUAUCCCUUCAAGAAUGGUGUUGAAAUAAAAUGUACAUUAUGUGCGGCCCUCAGGCUCUGUCCUGCAAAAUUGAAGUAAUUUCUUAAUUUAUUCAUUAAAAUCUGCUCAUUGUUCCCAAACAAACUUGCAAGAGAAGCCUAAAAAAAUUACGCAGCGAGGAAGGGGGGAAAACACGAGACAAGAUAGUCAUUUGAAUAAGGGGUUUGACAGGAAAUGUUGCACUGUGAGCAGCAAACCUCCUCUGAUCUGACAUGUUGAUCACACAACCCUCUCCGCUGCAGUUCCACGUCUCCCUGUUUUUUGGCUCAAGGCUUUUUUGGUUUAUUAGGGGAUAUGGGGGUGGCAUAUCACAUAAUGGCUUAACUCAAAGCACUCUUGUACAAUAGUUAUGACAAGGUAUGCAUGCCACAAACUCUAAUUGGACAUGCACUCCAAAUUUCAUGCAAAUCCAUCCUGAGCAAGCACCGAGUAGUUAUGCUAAUCCAAGAGCGGGUGUAUUUAACUGUCGGUUUGACUUGAUACAUGUCCUUUCCGCUCUGAAAUGAUUUAACGUGUCAAAACUACAGCUCUGAACAGCGGGAUACUUCUUCACUCACAGAAUUACUGAUAGUGGUUAUGUGCUUAAAAGCUCCUUAAUAGAUUUAGAGGAAUCUAACCACGCUGUGGUCUUCGUCUUUUUGUCACAGCACUCUUAAUACUCAGGGAUUAAUGAUGAUAAACACAGCGUUAUUAUCGUUUAUUUUCCUCAUUCAGGAAGGAUGCUUCAUAAAAGAGGAAUUUAUUUUAAAAAACCACAAAGCCAAUAUGUUUCACAGAUUGUAAUGAUCGUUUGUUUUGGGGGGGAGCAGGAGCCGGACUGGACUACUCGUGAAAAACAGAUAGUUGAGAUUGCUCAGAUGUUCCCUUCACAACCAAGUCUAAGAAUAAAUAAAGAUGUUAAUUCCUAAUCUUAUACAAUUUCUCAGUUUCAGCAUUAUAUGUGUUUUCUUACUGCUACUUAAAGGGAUCAAUGUUUUGUCAAAUCACUCAAUUGUCAUUUCAUUUUACACAACAUCAUAACUUUUUUUUGACAAUAAGUUAGUUUGCUUAUUUAAUUAAAAAGCAGGAUUAACUUUUUACCAAAAAAAGAGCAAAAUAAACAAAUAUAGAAAUUUCUGGUAACACUUUACAAUAACCAUAACUUAUAAAUGAUAAAUAGAUCAUUUAUAUAAUUUAUAUAAUUAUAUAAUUGGUGUAUAUACUGUUUUUAAAUUAUGAUUAAACAUAAAUAAACUAUCUACGUACCAUUUAUAAAUUAUGGUUAUUGUAAAGUAUUACCAAAUUUCUGAAUGGUAAUAUUAUACACAUUUUACACAACAGUUAAUUGUUUAUUAAGAAGUGGUGAUUGCUCACUAGAAAACUUAAAAUAGCCAAUGCCAUAUUUGUCCUAUAAAUAAGAUUAAAUCCACUAAAUGCAAAAAUAAGAGGUUUUAAUAAAUUCUAAUCCCAAUAGGAUCUUAUAUUGAUUAUUUGAAUUACUGUGUCACCAGUGUUGCUUUCAAUUUCUUGCACUGACAUCUUCAAGACUUGAUUAAACCAGACAAUACAAUAGCAUUAGUUAGAUUAAUAUUAGCUACAUGCCUUGUUAUUAAACAGUAAAGCUAAAAGAUUCAGAGCUCCCCCUGGCUGCUGUAUAGGUCAUAAACCCCGCCCCUCUUUGUGUUAACAGAUGGAACAUGGGUCAAACUAUAAAAUUAAAACACAUGUCACGUAAAAUUGUCCUGAACAUGGUAACUGUCAGUACAGUUAGUUGUUGUCAUGCUGAUUUAUGUCUGAGUGUUAAUUUUUCUGAAAGGUUCAGUUUGAUUUAUUAGAUUUUUAAAAAGAUGAUUGAUCCCUCUGUUGACAAAAGCAGCUCCUGCUCUGCUGUCCGUAGCCGUCAGUGUCUGCUUCAAACCAACACAAGCAUCUGUUCUCUGCCCACCGGGGGGGAUCUUUGGCUGUUUUUUGGAAAGUUUAAUGUGGUUUCGGUUUGCCUCAUGUGUGUUGCUAGCCAAAUCGCUCCUGCACAUGCAUUAAUUGAAAUUCUGGCACCUUUCUAGGCUUUUUAUUUUUUUUGCUUCAAAGCUCAUAAUGGUGAGAAAUAUGUUUCAGACAAGGAAACUGUAAAGUGAUAAGUAUUUUUUUAACAGUUCCAGAUAUUCAUGUGACGGUAACCUUUUUUAUUGUGAAGAAAAAUAAAAGUAUUACUCAGUGACUGUUAGUUAGGGAUGAUACGGGUGCAUGAUUUCUCUCUGUAUCUCUAAGAGGAAUCCUGGUUGGUUAAAACAGUCCAUCACUAACAUGACUUUGCUUUGUGUAUUAGAGCUACAUUGGUUGAGAGAACACAUCACUGUACAUUGGACCACAUCUAAGGAACAGGGAGAUUAAGACUCAGGGUGGGUGCACAUCUCGAGACACCUCUGGUUCCAGAUCCCCCUUGGUUCUUGGUUCUUGGUCUGGGGAAGGAGGGUUUUGAGUGCUGAGACAAACAGAAACAGGAAAACGAUGAGCUGCAGUUGAUUAAACUGGUAAAAGAGCUGCAGUCCUGUUCCCGAAUGUAUAUUAUAUUAACUUCAUAAAACAGGAACCUAUUAAAUUAUACGUUGUCGUUGUUUUCUUCUGGUUAUCCGGCUCCGGGUCGCAGGUGCAGCAGCUUUAGGAGGGAGGCCCAGACGGCCCUCACCCCAGCCACUUCCACCAGCUCCUCUGGGGGGAUUCCCAGGCGCUCCAAGGCCAA